CUUGUUGUCAAAAUUUACAGUUUCUUUUCUAAAUUUCUAGUAGUAAACAAUUCGACAGAAAAUAACAAAAAUGUCCUGUGCACGCUGUGGAUAUGGAGUUUAUAAAACUGACGAGUUUAUUUCAUUAAACAAGGUUUGGCACAAAUGUUGUUUUACUUGUUAUCAGUGCGACAAGCGGCUGGAAAAAGAAUGUGCAAAAAUAUUUCAAGGUGAAUUAUUCUGUCAGUGCUGCUACUCCUGUGUAAUUGAAAAACUUUUUGAGGUAAUUUCCACUCCUUCAGUAAUAAAACCUUGUAAAGUGCUUUCUACUCCAAGUUGUACCAUCAGCAAAUCAUUUGUGCAGUGUCUGAGAAAACGCGAAAACUGCUGUCCAAAGAAAAUUGAUUGUUAUAAAAGCAAACAAUUUUGCUUUCCCGCUGAAAAAAAGAACUGCAAGAUCGCUUACUCAUGCAGUUGUUUACCAAUCCAGCAGAAUUAUAAAAAUGAGUAUUGCUUUGACUUUCCUAUACCAAGAGAAGUAGCGAACUACUACAGCCGAUCACAUAUGAAAAGCAACGCUUGCAAAAACCCUGUAUCAUGCUGUACAACACGACCAUGUCCAGCUUGCAAUGUUCAAAAAUCAGACCGUUGUUGUGAACCCAAAUGUAAUCAGGUCGCCGUUAAAACCUUAAAAAGCUGUUGUUGCGGAUCCUGUGAGCCUUGUCUAAGAAUUAUUAAUGCUCCAAAUAGUUAUUCGUCUUCGUGCGACCCAAGCGUUCCAUGUCAGACUUGCCAGUGUUGCCAAGAAACGGUAUGCCCUACCAGAAAAUUACCCUGCAGACCAAGUUGUUCCCCACCACCCUGUUCUCACCCAGUUCAACCCUGCUGUUGCAAAAAAACACCAAAAUGUUGUCAGCAAUAUCAAAAUAAUGUCUGUCCUUUAAAGGUCUGUUGUGAACCUUCAAUUUGUUGUUGUCAAAAACAAAAAUGUUCGCAGCAAACGAGAUGCUGUUCUCUAAAAAAUGUAUGCCCAAUCUUGCAAGAUUGUUGUUGUCAGCAACCUAAACGUUGUACACCACAACGUGUUUGUGUUCUGCCUCCUAAAUGCCCUCCUUUGCAAUGCUGUCCAGUGAGGAUGGAGGGAUGUUGUAAGCCUUCAACCGCUUGUGAGUCUAAAAAAUCACCUUGCAACCCAUGCAGACCCCCUAAAUAUUGUGUUUGCGGCAACUUAAACCCAUGUGACUGUAAAAUAUCUCAAAUUAAGGCCCAAUGUACAGCCUGCUGCAAUAGAUGCGGAUAUAAGUCCGUCUUUUAGGUGUAUGCCGCUGAAAAAAUUUCGGUAUCAUGUGGGGCGUACCAUACCAGUUGUUUCACUUGUUCUUGCUGUAACAAAUGCUUGGACGUUAAGAAUGUCUAUGAAGGUUGUGGAGAAAUUUAUUGCAAAAGCUGUUACAAUCAUUUUUUUGGAACAGAGUACUAUGGUUUUGGAAACAUAAGUUAAUCACAAUAAGUUAAGCCCGUAUUGAAAUUAUAUAAGAAGAAACUUGUCUAAACUGUUAUUAUAUAAAUAUCUGUGAUUGUA
rnacentral:misc_RNA from 1 species